GACGAACGCUGGCGGCGCGCCUAACACAUGCAAGUCGAACGAGAGAUGAGGAGCUUGCUCUUCAAAUCGAGUGGCGAACGGGUGAGUAACGCGUGAGGAACCUGCCUCAAAGAGGGGGACAACAGUUGGAAACGACUGCUAAUACCGCAUAAGCCCACGGCUCGGCAUCGAGCAGAGGGAAAAGGAGCAAUCCGCUUUGAGAUGGCCUCGCGUCCGAUUAGCUAGUUGGUGAGGUAACGGCCCACCAAGGCGACGAUCGGUAGCCGGACUGAGAGGUUGAACGGCCACAUUGGGACUGAGACACGGCCCAGACUCCUACGGGAGGCAGCAGUGGGGAAUAUUGCACAAUGGGGGAAACCCUGAUGCAGCGACGCCGCGUGGAGGAAGAAGGUCUUCGGAUUGUAAACUCCUGUUGUUGAGGAAGAUAAUGACGGUACUCAACAAGGAAGUGACGGCUAACUACGUGCCAGCAGCCGCGGUAAAACGUAGGUCACAAGCGUUGUCCGGAAUUACUGGGUGUAAAGGGAGCGCAGGCGGGAGAACAAGUUGGAAGUGAAAUCCAUGGGCUCAACCCAUGAACUGCUUUCAAAACUGUUUUUCUUGAGUAGUGCAGAGGUAGGCGGAAUUCCCGGUGUAGCGGUGGAAUGCGUAGAUAUCGGGAGGAACACCAGUGGCGAAGGCGGCCUACUGGGCACCAACUGACGCUGAGGCUCGAAAGUGUGGGUAGCAAACAGGAUUAGAUACCCUGGUAGUCCACACCGUAAACGAUGAUUACUAGGUGUUGGAGGAUUGACCCCUUCAGUGCCGCAGUUAACACAAUAAGUAAUCCACCUGGGGAGUACGACCGCAAGGUUGAAACUCAAAGGAAUUGACGGGGGCCCGCACAAGCAGUGGAGUAUGUGGUUUAAUUCGACGCAACGCGAAGAACCUUACCAAGUCUUGACAUCCCUUGACGAUGCUGGAAACAGUAUUUCUCUUCGGAGCAAGGAGACAGGUGGUGCAUGGUUGUCGUCAGCUCGUGUCGUGAGAUGUUGGGUUAAGUCCCGCAACGAGCGCAACCCUUAUGGUCAGUUACUACGCAAGAGGACUCUGGCCAGACUGCCGUUGACAAAACGGAGGAAGGUGGGGAUGACGUCAAAUCAUCAUGCCCUUUAUGACUUGGGCUACACACGUACUACAAUGGCGUUAAACAAAGAGAAGCAAGACCGCGAGGUGGAGCAAAACUCAGAAACAACGUCCCAGUUCGGACUGCAGGCUGCAACUCGCCUGCACGAAGUCGGAAUUGCUAGUAAUCGUGGAUCAGCAUGCCACGGUGAAUACGUUCCCGGGCUU
rnacentral:rRNA from 1 species